rnacentral:rRNA from 1 species
UACGUAGGGUGCAAGCGUUGUCCGGAAUUACUGGGCGUAAAGAGUUCGUAGGCGGUUUGUCGCGUCGUUUGUGAAAACCAGCAGCUCAACUGCUGGCUUGCAGGCGAUACGGGCAGACUUGAGUACUGCAGGGGAGACUGGAAUUCCUGGUGUAGCGGUGAAAUGCGCAGAUAUCAGGAGGAACACCGGUGGCGAAGGCGGGUCUCUGGGCAGUAACUGACGCUGAGGAACGAAAGCGUGGGUAGCGAACAG